CCUACGGGUGGCAGCAGUGAGGAAUAUUGGUCAAUGGGCGUAAGCCUGACCCAGCCAAGUCGCGUGAGGGAUGAAGGUUCUAUGGAUCGUAAACCUCUUUUCUCAGGGAAUAAAGUGUGGGACGUGUCCUAUUUUGUAUGUACCUUAUGAAUAAGGAUCGGCUAACUCCGUGCCAGCAGCCGCGGUAAUACGGCGGAUCCGCGCGUUUUCCGGAUUUAUUGGGUUUAAAGGGUGCGUAGGCGGCCUUUUAAGUCAGCGGUGAAAGUCUGUGGCUCAACCAUAGAAUUGCCGUUGAAACUGGGGGGCUUGAGUAUGUUUGAGGCAGGCGGAAUGCGUGGUGUAGCGGUGAAAUGCUUAGAUAUCACGCAGAACCCCGAUUGCGAAGGCAGCCUGCCAAGCCAUGACUGACGCUGAUGCACGAAAGCGUGGGGAUCAAACAGGAGUAGAUACCCUGGUAGUC
rnacentral:rRNA from 1 species